UCCAUGUCCUGGGCCAGCCUGAUGAUGUC
rnacentral:piRNA from 1 species